AUUAGAGUUUGAUCCUGGCUCAGAUUGAACGCUGGCGGCAGGCCUAACACAUGCAAGUCGAGCGGUAGCACAGAGAGCUUGCUCUCGGGUGACGAGCGGCGGACGGGUGAGUAAUGUCUGGGAAACUGCCUGAUGGAGGGGGAUAACUACUGGAAACGGUAGCUAAUACCGCAUAACGUCGCAAGACCAAAGUGGGGGACCUUCGGGCCUCAUGCCAUCAGAUGUGCCCAGAUGGGAUUAGCUGGUAGGUGGGGUAACGGCUCACCUAGGCGACGAUCCCUAGCUGGUCUGAGAGGAUGACCAGCCACACUGGAACUGAGACACGGUCCAGACUCCUACGGGAGGCAGCAGUGGGGAAUAUUGCACAAUGGGCGCAAGCCUGAUGCAGCCAUGCCGCGUGUGUGAAGAAGGCCUUCGGGUUGUAAAGCACUUUCAGCGGGGAGGAAGGCGGUGAGGUUAAUAACCUCAUCGAUUGACGUUACCCGCAGAAGAAGCACCGGCUAACUCCGUGCCAGCAGCCGCGGUAAUACGGAGGGUGCAAGCGUUAAUCGGAAUUACUGGGCGUAAAGCGCACGCAGGCGGUCUGUCAAGUCGGAUGUGAAAUCCCCGGGCUCAACCUGGGAACUGCAUCCGAAACUGGCAGGCUAGAGUCUUGUAGAGGGGGGUAGAAUUCCAGGUGUAGCGGUGAAAUGCGUAGAGAUCUGGAGGAAUACCGGUGGCGAAGGCGGCCCCCUGGACAAAGACUGACGCUCAGGUGCGAAAGCGUGGGGGAGCAAACAGGAUUAGAUACCCUGGUAGUCCACGCUGUAAACGAUGUCGAUUUGGAGGUUGUGCCCUUGAGGCGUGGCUUCCGGAGCUAACGCGUUAAAUCGACCGCCUGGGGAGUACGGCCGCAAGGUUAAACUCAAAUGAAUUGACGGGGGCCCGCACAAGCGGUGGAGCAUGUGGUUUAAUUCGAUGCAACGCGAAGAACCUUACCUGGUCUUGACAUCCACAGAACUUUCCAGAGAUGGAUUGGUGCCUUCGGGAACUGUGAGACAGGUGCUGCAUGGCUGUCGUCAGCUCGUGUUGUGAAAUGUUGGGUUAAGUCCCGCAACGAGCGCAACCCUUAUCCUUUGUUGCCAGCGGUUAGGCCGGGAACUCAAAGGAGACUGCCAGUGAUAAACUGGAGGAAGGUGGGGAUGACGUCAAGUCAUCAUGGCCCUUACGACCAGGGCUACACACGUGCUACAAUGGCAUAUACAAAGAGAAGCGACCUCGCGAGAGCAAGCGGACCUCAUAAAGUAUGUCGUAGUCCGGAUUGGAGUCUGCAACUCGACUCCAUGAAGUCGGAAUCGCUAGUAAUCGUAGAUCAGAAUGCUACGGUGAAUACGUUCCCGGGCCUUGUACACACCGCCCGUCACACCAUGGGAGUGGGUUGCAAAAGAAGUAGGUAGCUUAACCUUCGGGAGGGCGCUUACCACUUUGUGAUUCAUGACUGGGGUGAAGUCGUAACAAGGUAGCCGUAAU
rnacentral:rRNA from 1 species